AUUGAACGCUGGCGGCAGGCCUAACACAUGCAAGUCGAACGAGUGGCGGACGGGUGAGUAAUGUCUGGGAAUCGUCCUGAUGGAGGGGGAUCACUACGGGAAACUGUAGCUAAUACCGCAUACCAUCAGAUGUGCCCAGGUGGGAUUAGCUUGUUGGUGGGGUAACGGCUCACCAAGGCGACGAGCCCUAGCUGGUCUGAGAGGAUGACCAGCCACACUGGAACUUAGACACGGUCCAGACUCCGACGGGAGGCAGCAGUGGGGAAUAUUGCACAAGGGGCGCAAGCCUGAUGCAGCCAUGCAGCGUGUAUGAAGAAGGCCUUCGGGUUGUAAAGUACUUUCAGCGGGGAGGCGUUACCCGCAGAAGAAGCACCGGCUAACUCCGUGCCAGCAGCCGCGGUAAUUC
rnacentral:rRNA from 1 species